GGGCGGGACACGUGGUAUCCUGUCUGAAUAUGGGGGGACCAUCCUCCAAGGCUAAAUACUCCUGACUGACCGAUAGUGAACCAGUACCGUGAGGGAAAGGCGAAAAGAACCCCGGCGAGGGGAGUGAAACAGAACCUGAAACCGUGUACGUACAAGCAGUGGGAGCCCCACCACUAAGCCAGUGGUGAACUCCACAUACGCAUCCUUUGCGGAAGAUGCGGUUAACGGAGCGAAAGCGACGUUCAACCUCAGAAGAAGCAGAGGGGGCUUAGUGGUGGGGUGACUGCGUACCUUUUGUAUAAUGGGUCAGCGACUUAUAUUCUGUAGCAAGGUUAACCGCAUAGGGGAGCCGAAGGGAAACCGAGUCUUAAUUGGGCGUUAAGUUGCAGGGUAUAGACCCGAAACCCGGUGAUCUAGCCAUGGGCAGGUUGAAGGUUGGGUAACACUAACUGGAGGACCGAACCGACUAAUGUUGAAAAAUUAGCGGAUGACCUGUGGCUGGGGGUGAAAGGCCAAUCAAACCGGGAGAUAGCUGGUUCUCCCCGAAAGCU
rnacentral:rRNA from 1 species